rnacentral:lncRNA from 1 species
CCUUCAUUAAACAUAUAAACAUUUAAUACAAUAAGUAUUCCAAAAGCUAUUACAUCAAAUGAGUGGCUUUGUGGGCAUACUUCCAACAAUCUCCCACUUGCACUCAAAGCCAUCCUCCCAUGUAUCUAAUACCCAUCCUUUCCAUAUGACGGUCAAGCUGGAUUUGAGACAUUGGCUUUGUCAGUGGAUCUGCUACAUUAUCGGCCGAAGCA